rnacentral:rRNA from 1 species
AAUGAACGUUGGCGGCGUGGAUUAGGCAUGCAAGUCGAGCGAGAAACCUCCUUCGGGAGGUGGAAAGCGGCGAAAGGGAGAGUAACGCGUGGAUACCUGCCCUCGAGUUCGGGAUAGCUGCUGGAAACGGCAGGUAAUACCGAAUGAUAUCUCCGGAUCAAAGGUGUGAUUCCGCCCGGGGAUGGGUCCGCGUCCUAUUAGCUAGUUGGUGAGGUAACGGCUCACCAAGGCAACGAUGGGUAGUGGGUGUGAGAGCACGACCCACCUCACUGGGACUGAGACACUGCCCAGACACCUACGGGUGGCUGCAGUCGAGGGUCGUCGGCAAUGGGCGCAAGCCUGACCGAGCGAGGCCGCGUGCGGGAUGAAGGCCUUCGGGUUGUAAACCGCUUUCGGAGGGGAUGAAAUGCGUGGGGGUUCUCCCCCACGUUUGACAUAGCCUCUAAAGAAGUACGGGCUAAGUUCGUGCCAGCAGCCGCAGUAACAC